GCUUCAAAGCUCAUUGUUUAAAACAUGAUGCUCCAGAUAUAUGCUUUUGGAAAUUGAAAUCUUGUUUAUCCCACUCCUGGCAAACAGUCAUAUUUUUGAGAUCAGUUAGGAUGACCCAUUGAACUGUAAAUAAACUGGAAGGCUAAAUCCUAUAAUGAACUAUUCUAUAUGAUUCGUUGAAACCGGCGCGGUAUAAAUCAACGCAAAGGUAUCUAGUUUAUAAUAUGUAAAAAAUGAUGACC